AUGAACGCUGGCGGCGUGCCUAAUCCAUGCCCGUCGAGCGAACAGACGAGGAGCUUGCUCCUCUGACGUUAGCGGCGGACGGGUGAGUAACACGUGGAUAACCUACCUAUAAGACUGGGAUAACUUCGGGAAACCGGAGCUAAUACCGGAUAAUAUAUUGAACCGCAUGGUUCCAUAGUGAAAGACGGUUUUGCUGUCACUUAUAGAUGGAUCCGCGCCGCAUUAGCUAGUUGGUAAGGUAACGGCUUACCAAGGCAACGAUGCGUAGCCGACCUGAGAGGGUGAUCGGCCACACUGGAACUGAGACACGGUCCAGACUCCUACGGGAGGCAGCAGUAGGGAAUCUUCCGCAAUGGGCGAAAGCCUGACGGAGCAACGCCGCGUGAGUGAUGAAGGUCUUCGGAUCGUAAAACUCUGUUAUUAGGGAAGAACAAAUGUGUAAGUAACUAUGCACGUCUUGACGGUACCUAAUCAGAAAGCCACGGCUAACUACGUG
rnacentral:rRNA from 1 species